CAAUAGCGUAUAUUAAAGUUGUUGCAGUUAAAAAGCUCGUAGUUGAAUUUUUGCUUGCCGCCGAUGUCGGAACUUCCGUACGUUCGGCGGCGUGCAUCCUUGGGUGGAACCUGUGUGGCAUUAGGUUGUCGUGCAGGGGAUGCUCAUCGUUUACUGUGAAAAAAUUAGAGUGUUCAAAGCAGGCUUACGCCGUUGAAUAUAUUAGCAUGGAAUAAUAAGAUAGGACCUUGGUACUAUUUUGUUGGUUUGCGCACCGAGGUAAUGAUUAACAGGGACAGUUGGGGGUAUUCGUAUUCCAUUGUCAGAGGUGAAAUUCUUGGAUUUCUGGAAGACGAACUACUGCGAAAGCAUUUACCAAGGAUGCUUUCAUUAA
rnacentral:rRNA from 1 species